rnacentral:lncRNA from 1 species
ACAACAGGGAAUAAAACCCUGAGUAUGAAAUUACUCAGCAAGACUUACCCGACUAAAGAAAAGACUCUCAAGGAUAUGCUGGAUUUGGGAAUCAAGGAGAGGCUUUAGCAAGAAUCAACUUAGAUACUUUUGCAGAAUUAGCUUACUAAAGUGAGUCCUUACUUUCAAUAUUUUAAUGCCAGAUUAAAUAUUAAUAGACUCUGUUUGCAUCUGGUCUAAUUUCACCAUCUCAUCAAUACAACAUCAUUUUUAUUCAUGAGGUUCACAUCCUGACUUAGGUUGCAGGGCAGCGAUCAAGUCUCCACUCUCCAGGGAUAUAACGGUGAUCUGAAUCGAUUUACUCAGCUGAGGAUCUCUAACCACACGACAUAUGUAGCACUUAACCCUUGCAUAUGUCAACCGUUCCCACGGAUCCUCCACUACAUGAACAGGUCCACGCCACCCGAGAGCACACCACCCCUUUUAGGCGAUCCUUUGCCAGGAGGGUACGUGCCACUCUCGCCAUCUCUCCACUCCCAGUGCGCGAUUGUCUUUCCAUGUAUGGAAUAGCCGGGUUCAAGCUUACCCUGUCCCAUAUCCAGGGCAUGUGGCUAGUUAAGAUAGUCCUUGAUCAUACAGGCCUACAUACGCAUCCAAUCCUUAAUUGACCCGGGCGGAACAUCACCUGUUCCUAGCCCAAGUCCCGAUUUAAGUACUUCCACCCUUAGGAUUGUUUGUAUUCCUUAGGAUGAAAAGAGCAUCAAAGGGAACUUUGCAGUAAGAUCCCAUCACGCUCUGAAUGAAAAUAUUCUUGCAGGUAGAAGCCAUCUUUCCUCAGGAUAACCCCUGAGCUAGGCCUUAAUGCAAAAGACAACCUCUAUCCACAAGAUCUGGCAGGGCUAAGCAUUUUUGUAAAUCAUGUUUUGAUACUUCACCAGAAGUAUCUAUAAAGGUAUGGAUAUCAAGGAAGGCAAUGCAUCAAAGGGUUUCCAAACAACUCCUAUAAACCUAAUGCACAUUCACUAGACUUAAAGUGUGUAAAAAUAAUUUAAAAACACAAGGAAGGGGUUGCAUGCACCGGGGCUUGCCUGGAUAACACUAGGUUAGUGUUUGUUAGACGUCGUCCACUUAGCGAUCAUCUUUUGUUCUGAUACUUGUUUCGUUUGUCCAUCUUCAGUUCCGUUCAUCAGCACCAUCUUGUGGUCGACUCAAUUCUGGUUCUCCACAUCACGUGGUUAAUUCACGUACCUGAAUGAAAUGCAUUAUGCAUAUGAAUGCAUAUAGACAGGAAUAUCGCAAACCUAAAUAGUGCUUGCGAUAGCGAAUUAAACACCUAGCGGCGAGGCGUUGAAUAAUUUCAUAUGAAAAUACUAGUUAUCGAUAUACGACUACACGCAAUAAUUACGCUCCUCUAGAUUAAACGAACCUAACGUAAACAUCACGAGCAACAAACUAUACACCUUUAAUAUACUUAGCCUAAACAUAACUUAUCAGCUAAUUAAUUAAAUUCUAAACUUAUCCUUCAUUUUAUAAAUUGUACUAUAUCGCUCACAAAGAACUAUUUUAAUUUUAUUUUACUUCUCACAUAUUUUACAUGUCAACAAUUACUCAAACAUUUCUUUAUCAUAAAUACAUACACAUCUUUAUAAGUGAGUAAAAUAUUUUAUCAUCACACAGGCCUACUAAUAUUCUACUCGGUACACUAAUUCAGCUAAUUAAUCAGAAUAGCGAAAUAACUCGCCACAACUGAAUCUGGCUCGAUAAUCGCAAGAACCGCGAAGUCGACGAGAGUUUCGUGACUUACGCAAUUUAUCGAGCACCUUAAUAAGCAUCGCACUAGCACAUUAAUUUAUUCAUCGAUCGAACUAUUCUGAAUAAUUUAUCAGCUUACCGUUUCCAUAGCUGACACGAAUCCGCGAGAUCGGUAGCGAUUUUUUGAUCCAGGCAAUUUGUCGAGCGCUUGGGGAAUAUCGUGCUUCUAGCUUCGUCUUCACCCGAUUCUUGGGAUUUCUUGAUGAUGCACGGAACGACUAUGACCUUCGAUUGAAGUCGGGAGCGAGCUGGUGAGGUGGGGUUGAGCAGGAGAUGACGAGUUUGACGACUCGACUGCAAAUGUGAGCACGUGUGAAGCCCGAUGGAUGAAGAGCGAGCGUGACACAGCAAGAACGAGCAGGCACGCGAGUGUUAACGCGAGCCAGCGGCAAGCACGAGUGCUGAGGUACAACCGACAACACUCGGCGAGCACGCAGCGUGUAAGACCCAAAAUUAGUAGAAUUUUUUUUUGAAUUAUAAAAUAAAUAAAUAAAUAAAUAUAGUUGUUGUAGUGCUUUAGGUAAUGAGAAAAGAAAUUUGUAAUGAAGUCAACCAUCGUUAGAGUCAAAUAUGAGAAAGAGAAUAAAAUGGUAAUAUUUAAAAUAAUAUGGUUGAUAUUCACAAUUGGAUUUCAAUUGAGACUUUUGGGAAAUUUUAAAUUUAAAACAUGAGUUGAAUUUAAUUUGGAUAUCUGCAAUUUGAAAAUGGAAAGAGGAAUGGGGAAAGAUAAUGAGAUAGAAAUGGAAAAGGAUAUACAUUAUAAAACAAGAUAUAUAUGAUUAAUUAUAAUUUUUCACACUAGUGCUUUAUUGGUACAUUUAAGCCUAUGUGUGAACUCACAAACGAAUUUGAAUUCAAAUACUAAACUUUGAAAUUAAGAAAGAAAUGCAAAACAAAAAUAAUAAAAGAACAAAAAAAUGGGGGGGGUCGAAUUGGGCCCAAAACCCCCGGCUGGCCUAUUUCUCCACUCCCGCCGCCUACUUCAGGGCUGCGCUCCCAGGCGCCGACCGGUGGGCCCGCCCAGGCAGCCACCCGGGGCGUGUGCGGUCGCUGUUCUGCGGGGCCCGCGUAGUCGGUCUCUGGGGCUCAAUAGCGACUCCCCCUUUUCGCUGAAGCAUGGGCCCGGGUGUGCGGGAGUCAUCCCCUACCUCGUGACCAGACUGCCGCUACCGAUGCCGCGAUUCUCGCGCUGCACCAGGAUUCUGUUGCCGCUUUCCCCUGGACUCGAUCCUCGCGGACUCUGCCUAUAAAACCCAGCCGUCGUCCCUGCUCGUCACCAGAAAACCUUCAUGGCGCAUCAAGCACAGGGUGAGAGAUAGGGGAGCGCUGAGUCAAGCCGGGAGCCGCCACCGUGCGAAUCAAGGGUCACCGCCGUCAAAGCUAUCCGUGCCAUCGUUCGGAGUCCUUGGGAAGGCGCGGGGGUCAUCUGUGCAUCGUUAAUUGCUCAUCGGAGCAAAAUCUCCGCCGUGACUCGCUUCUCACCGUGGUCUGGGCACUAGGCUGCAUACCUCUCGGUGAGUACCCCCCCAACUACUUCCCAUCGUCCGUCUCUAGAGAAUUCCGCCUCUGGAUUGGAGUUUAUGCGUUGUGAGUGGGGGAGUGCGUGGCACCGGCCAUGGCACGCCGCCGUGUAGUUCCUGCGCGGCGUCGCUCGGCCUGGCUCAGGGAUGGAAGAAGACGGGUCCCUGUCCGUAGGAUUGAGAUGGACGGCUGGGAUUAAAAGUAGCAUUUACCCCUUCGCGUAUUGAAUCCAAGCCUUUGGCGCCUGAUCGAGUGGAUGGGGUUUGAGAUCGUCUGGAACCAUGGAUGCCGCAUCCAAGGGUUGUGGGUGAUUCAUGUUCACUUUAGGGGGGAUCUAAUCCCGUCGGUUGAUGGGCGAUCGGACGGCUCUGGGUCCCCGGUACCUCUUUGCCGUUGCCGAGUUGCUAAAGAGCCCCUGCAGUUUUUCUUAUUCAACCCGCCAUCCCGUGCCAUUACAAGACCAUUACCGUUUAGUCCUGGAAUUUAUGUAGAACCCCCUGGUCUUUGUUAAAAUUGUGUCGCCAGUCCAUACAUAGAAUAAAGGGAGGAAAUUAAUAAGGAAAAUAUGAUUUUAGUAUAAAAAUAAAUCUCGAAACUUAUUUAAUUCAUAUUUAGCUCAUUUUAACUCUGAUUUGAUCCAUUCGAAUUGCGUUAGCUUCAUAAAAAUAUUAUCUACGUAGUAUCAACAUCAUGUAUACCAUAUUCCAUAUAAUUAUAAUUAGGAUAGUGUUAAACUUUAUUCAGUAUAUUAACUCUAUUAACCUAGGAUUAAUCUCUCCAUAAAUGUAAUCUGAGUAAAAGGUAAUCCCUAAUCAAGUUAUGAUCUAGGUUAAAGUUGGAUUAAUUAUUUAGAAUAUAUUUUCUCAUAUAUUGUAUAAUAUAGUUUAAUCACAUAGAUCUUCCAUACAUCAUAACUCCUUAAACGUAACCCCGAUUUUAGUGAUUCUCGUUCCUACGAUCUCGUAGCGGCUCGUAGAUUAUUAUUACGCAAUUUAUUCUUAUGUUUGGUGUAAUGUUAAUUUUGCCUAUACACUGUUUGUUUGUAAUUCUACGACUAGCGUGAGGACACGUGUCAUCUGAAGAGCAAGUUGGUACCUGGAAUCUCAAGUCCCAAGCAAGUUGUGCCCUUGAUCACUUCUUUUUACCCACUCAUGUUCUAAUUAAUCAUAAUGAUCUGCAUAGGUUAAUUUUGAUGGGACCCAAUAGGUUACCCUAGUUUGAUUAUCUUUAUACCUUGUUUACCACUGAACUUUUUGGGUAGUACUUGCUAGUGCUUUAUAUGGUUUUGGGUAUGAAGAUUCAUUAUUCAUGAUCACACUUUUAUUAUCUAUUUAUUAUUACUUUUCAUGAUAAGAUCAUUAUGUUAAUUGGAACAUGGAGCGACCACCUAGGAAAACAGUGCUACCACAAGGGUCUAUGGGACGCCCUUGGAUGAUUAAUUAGGAAAGCUAGUGGAAGACUACCUUACCCGAAAGGGGCAAGGGCAGUAGGGGAGUGGUCAGUGUAGGGAGGUCCUUGGGAUGAUUUUGCUGCGAUGGCGAUCAUGCGGGGGAUCCCUGCAUUGGAGCUUCCUAUAAACUGUAGCGGGUUUUCUGAAGCUAGUGGAACUUUAUAAAGGCCUCGUAGUGUUACCCUGCCUCGCCUCCUCGAUGGUGUAUGGGAAGUCGCGAUCCCUUGGCAGAUGGGUAACAUGACUUGUGGGUAAAGAUGUGCAACCUCUGCAGAGUGUAAAACUGGUAUACUAGCCGUGAUCACGGUCAUGAGCAGCUCGGACCCUCACAUGAUUAAUUUAUGGAACUAAAUUGAAUUUGUCAUAUGCAUUGCAUCGCAGGUGAUGUUAUUACUUUUCUUAAUUGGGUUGGAAUUUACUUAUACUUAGUAACUGCUAAUAAAAUUUUGACCAACUUUAAAAGCAAUGCUCAGCUCUAACCAUCCUCUUUGGUAAGCCUUACACUUAACGUGAGCUCCCACCUUUGGCGAGUUCAUGCACAUUAUUCCCCACAACUUGUUGAGCGAUGAACGUAUGUGAGCUCACUCUUGCUGUCUCACCCCCCCCCCCACACAGGUCAAGAACAGGUACCACAGGAUGAGGCGCAUGGAGGAUGCUGCGAUGUGUUCGUGAGAGGUCUAGGUCGUCGUCUCCCAGUCAACUUUGGGUUGCUGGACCGUUGUCUCCUUAUAUGUAAUUAUUUAUUUAUUUUGUAUAGAACUCCUGUUAUGUAGUAAAGAUGUGACAUUCGAUCCUGUGCCAUGAUUCAUCAUAUGUGUGAGACUUGGUCCCAGCACACCUGGUGAUUAUGUUCGCGCCCGGGUCUUGGUGCCUCGAAACCCAUGUGUGACAGAAGUGGUAUCAGAGGAAUGUUGACUGUAGGACGAAACCUAGAUAGAACUGGACAACCAUUGUCUACUUACCUUUGCUACUCUGAUUCUUUCUAAACUUUCCUUAAUCUUCUCUCAUUUAUUUCCGCUUUACUCUGACUAUUCUUACAUUUUCUUUUCUAAAGACAAAUGUGGAUUUCAUACUUCGAAAUCCUGUGCCUAAAGUGACCUUCAGGAAUAGGAGACCUACUUUUAAGAAACAAAAAUAAAACUAUUUUUUUAUAGAUAUCUAUGAACUUGAUUGUUUGUUCUUAUGAUACUUGUUUGAUUUGGAUCUUUGAUUGAGUGUGAUGAGUUGUGGAGUAAUGUCCACAAUUACAUCUACAUAUACAUAUAGGCAUAAAUAUAAAUAAAUAAAAUUCAUAAGAUAAAAAAGUCUAGAUUAUCCCCCAUUAAAGUGUACCUAUUUUAAUAGAUCCAUCUCAUUUUAAAAGAUACUCUCUUACCUUAAUAGAUUCAUCUUAUCUUGAGAAGAUGUUAUCUUAUCCUAAUAGAUCUAACUGACCUCAUAUCUUAAUCGAUUUAAUCUAGAUCACCAUCUAAUCCAAUAUGAUCCAAUCAAAAGUGAGUUACUAACAGGUUAGUUAAUUCGGUGAUAUGGGUUAGACACUGCUUCAACAAACAUAACCUAACCUAAAUUAAUGUCAUAUACCAACUUGUCUAUAAACAACAAUAUAACCUACAUCACAGGCUGCUUAGUCCAUUUGUUCCAAAAGCAAAAUACAACUCUGUUCAAACCUACCUACCUCGUGUACCCCGACUAUCCUAACUAUAUGUCCUUAACUCGGAUGGCACCUCCAAGAAGAAAGACCAAAGAAGACCAACCACGUCAAAGAAGGAUAAGCAUCAACUCAAGCCUUCAAAGAUCAAGCUAAAUCAUCAGAUGAAUCAAGAUCCACAAAUCUUGGAUGGAGUCUUUCCUUACCCUACACUUUCUUACCCAAACCUAUCUAUGCUUUAAAGACAUCUUCUAUCCUACAUAAUAAAGUAGACAUACAUAUAUACACCCAUGCUUUCCUAAUCACCUGCCAAUUUGGGUUUAGACUUGGAAAAAAAUAUUUUGGUACUAAAACUACUUAGACACUGAAAUAUAGAUUACAAACCAAUCUCUCUGUAACCCUUUUCUUACAAAUCUCGUGGGCGAGAGUUCUGUUAAGGGGGGUAGGAUUUGUAAGACCCAAAAUUAGUAGAAUUUUUUUUGAAUUAUAAAAUAAAUAAAUAAAUAAAUAUAGUUGUUGUAGUGCUUUAGGUAAUGAGAAAAGAAAUUUGUAAUGAAGUCAACCAUCGUUAGAGUCAAAUAUGAGAAAGAGAAUAAAAUGGUAAUAUUUAAAAUAAUAUGGUUGAUAUUCACAAUUGGAUUUCAAUUGAGACUUUUGGGAAAUUUUAAAUUUAAAACAGGAGUUGAAUUUAAUUUGGAUAUCUGCAAUUUGAAAAUGGAAAGAGGAAUGGGGAAAGAUAAUGAGAUAGAAAUGGAAAAGGAUAUACAUUAUAAAACAAGAUAUAUAUGAUUAAUUAUAAUUUUUCACACUAGUGCUUUAUUGGUACAUUUAAGCCUAUGUGUGAACUCACAAACGAAUUUGAAUUCAAAUACUAAACUUUGAAAUUAAGAAAGAAAUGCAAAACAAAAAUAAUAAAAGAACAAAAAAAUGGGGGGGUCGAAUUGGGCCCAAAACCCCCGACUGGCCUAUUUCUCCACUCCCGCCGCCUAAUUCAGGGCUGCGCUCCCAGGCGCCGACCGGUGGGCCCGCCCAGGCAGCCACCCGGGGCGUGUGCGGUCGCUGUUCUGCGGGGCCCGCGUAGUCGGUCUCUGGGGCUCGAUAGCGACUCCCCCUUUUCGCUGAAGCAUGGGCUCUGGUGUGCGGGAGUCAUCCCCUACCUCGUGACCAGACUGCCGCUACCGAUGCCGCGAUUCUCGCGCUGCACCAGGAUUCUGUUGCCGCUUUCCCUUAGACUCGAUCCUCGCGGACUCUGCCUAUAAAACUCAGCCGCCGUCCCUGCUCGUCAACAGAAAACCUUCGUGGCGCAUCAAGCACAGGGUGAGAGAUAGGGGAGCGCUGAGUCAAGCCGGGAGCCGCCACCGUGCGAAUCAAGGGUCACCGCCGUCAAAGCUAUCAGUGCCAUCGUUCGGAGUCCUAGGGCAGGCGCGGGGGUCAUCUGUGCAUCGUUAAUUGCUCAUCGGAGCAAAAUCUCCGCCGUGACUCGCUUCUCACCGUGGUCUGGGCACUAGGCUGCAUACCUCUCGGUGAGUACCCCCCAACUACUUCCCACCGUCCGUCUCUAGAGAAUUCCGCCUCUGGAUUAGAGUUUAUGCGUUGUGAGUGGGGGAGUGCGUGGCACCGGCCAUGGAGCGCCGCCGUGUAGUUCCUGCGCGGCGUCGCUCGGCCUGGCUCAGGGAUGGAAGAAGACGGGUCCCUGGCCGUAGGAUUGAGAUGGACGGCUGGGAUUAAAAGUAGCAUUUACCCCUUCGCGUAUUGAAUCCAAGCCUUUGGCGCCUGAUCGAGUGGAUGGGGUUUGAGAUCGUCUGGAACCGUGGAUGCCGCAUCCAAGGGUUGUGGGUGAUUCCUGUUCACUUUAGGGGGGAUCUAAUCCCGUCGGUUGAUGGGCGAUCGGACGGCUUUGGGUCCCCGGUACCUCUUCGCCGUUGCCGAGUUGCUAAAGAGCCCCUGCGGUUUUUCUUAUUCAACCCGCCAUCCCGUGCCAUUACAAGACCAUUACCGUUUAGUCCUGGAAUUUAUGUAGAACCCCCUGGUCUUUGUUAAAAUUGUGUCGCCAGUCCAUACAUAGAAUAAAGGGAGGAAAUUAAUAAGGAAAAUGGGAUUUUAGUAUAAAAAUAAAUCUUGAAACUUAUUUAAUUCAUAUUUAGCUCAUUUUAACUCUGAUUUGAUCCAUUCGAAUUGCGUUAGCUUCAUAAAAAUAUUAUCUACGCAGUAUCAACAUCAUGUAUACCAUAUUCCAUAUAAUUAUAAUUAGGAUAGUGUUCAAACUUUAUUCAGUAGAUUAACUCUAUUAACCUAGGAUUAAUCUCUCCAUAAAUGUAAUCUGAGUAAAAGGUAAUCCCUAAUCAAGUUAUGAUCUAGGUUAAAGUUGGAUUAAUUAUUUAGAAUAUAUUUUCUCAUAUACUGUAUAAUAUAGUUUAAUCACAUAGAUCUUCCAUAAAUCAUAACUCCUUAAACGUAACCCCGAUUUUAGUGAUUCUCGUUCCUACGAUCUCGUAGCGGCGCGUAGAUUAUUAUUACGCAGUUUAUUCUUAUGUUUGGUGUAAUGUUAAUUUUGCCUAUACACUGUUUGUUUGUAAUUCUAUGACUAGCGUGAGGACACGUGUCAUCUGAAGAGCAAGUUGGUACCUGGAAUCUCAAGUCCCAGGCAAGUUGUGCCCUUGAUCACUUCUUUUUACCCACUCAUGUUCUAAUUAAUCAUAAUGAUCUGCAUAGGUUAAUUUUGAUGGGACCCAAUAGGUUACCCUAGUUUGAUUAUCUUUAUACCUUGUUUACCACUGAACUUUUUGGGUAGUACUUGCUAGUGCUUUAUAUGGUUUUGGGUAUGAAGAUACAUUAUUCAUGAUCACACUUUUAUUAUCUAUUUAUUAUUAUUGUUCAUGAUAAGAUCAUUAUGUUAAUUGGAACAUGGAGCGACCACCCGGGAAAACAGUGCUACCACAAGGGUUUAAUGGGACGCCCUUGACUGAUUAAUUAGGAAAGCUAGUGGAAGACUACCUUACCCGAAAGGGGCAAGGGCAGUAGGGGAGUGGUCAGUGUAGGGAGGUCCUUGGGAUGAUUUUGCUGCGAUGGCGAUCAUGCGGGGGAUCCCUGCAUUGGAGCUUCCUAUAAACUGUAGCGGGUUUUCUGAAGCUAGUGGAACUUUGUAAAGGCCUCGUAGUGUUACCCUGCCUCGCCUCCUCGUUAGAGGUGUAUGGGAAGUCGCGAUCCCUUGGCAGAUGGGUAACAUGACUUGUGGGUAAAGAUGCGCAACCUCUGCAGAGUGUAAAACUGGUAUACUAGCCGUGCUCACGAUCAUGAGCAGCUCGGACCCUCACAUGAUUAAUUUAUGGAACUAAAUUCAAUUUGUCAUAUGCAUUGCAUCUUAGGUGAUGUUAUUACUUUUCUUAAUUGGGUUGGAAUUUACUUAUACUUAGUAACUGCUAAUAAAAUUUUCACCAACUUUAAAAGAAAUGCUCAGCUCUAACCAUCCUCUUUGGUAAGCCUUACACUUCACGUGAGCUCCCACCUUUGGCGAGUUCAUGCACAUUAUUCCCCACAACUUGUUGAGCGAUGAACGUAUGUGAGCUCACUCUUGCUGUCCCACACCCCCCCAUAGGUCAAGAACAGGUACCACAGGAUGAGGCGCAUGGAGGAUGCUGCGAUGUGUUCGUGAGAGGUCUAGGUCGUCGUCUCCCAGUCAACUUUGGGUUGCUGGACCGUUGUCUCCUUCUAUGUAUUUAUUUAUUUAUUUUGUAUAGAACUCCUGUUAUGUAGUAAAGAUGUGACAUUCGAUCCUAUGCCAUGAUUCAUCAUAUGUGUGAGACUUGGUCCCAGCACACCUGGUGAUUAUGUUCGCGCCCGGGUCUUGGUGCCCCGAAACCCGGGUGUGACACAGCGAGACACACAACAGCGACGACAGCCGAAUCGGCAACAGAGUGUUGGCGAACUCGACGAACACGACCACGGUCGCGUGCUGGCGCGGAUAGGAUAACAACAACUUGACGAGUUGGAGCAUCAGCGGGUAGCCGACGAGGGUGAGCAAAGCAUGCAGGACACCGGGCGUCGCGGCGAGCUAGAAAAGGAUUCGGCGCGGGAGCUCGACACGCACAAAUUUUUGUUUCGUUGCUCCACGCAUGACGCGUGGACAGACGGCAAGCAGGGAUGCGCGGUGAAAUCUCGAGCAUGACACAGGGAACCGCCCACGGCGAGCAUAGGGACACGGCUGCGCGCGGCGUGUGCGCAGAGAGCUCGACCGGGCGCGGCGAGCUGGGGACUGAGCGCGGUCCGAGCUAGGAAGAACCGGAAUACCACGACGUGCAGGGAGAUGGCAAAGCGGAGCACGUGUGUUGACGCCUUUUUGGAGCGUCAAAUACUCAAGAAGAACCGGCGGCGGUGCUCUCUGGUCAGGCGCGGACGGUCCGCGGCCUGGGGCCGGACGGUCCGCGACCUGGCACAGGGGCUAGGGUUUCCUGCCUGACGGCCAGACGGUCCGAGCCCUGGGGCCGGACGGUCCGCGCGUGCGCAGGGGCGGCGGAAGAUCGCCGGCGGCACCUGGGUCUCGCUCCCGGGAGGGACCCUGUCGGGGAGGAGAGAUCCUAGGGAUUGUCUAGGCUCGGGCCGGCCGACCUAGACUCCUCUAAUCGGCGUAGAGUCGAAGAGAGGCGAAGAAUUUGGGGAUCGAGAGGCUAAACUAGAACUAGACUAGAACUACUCCUAAUUGUACUGGAAAUAAGUGCGAAUAGAAGUUGUAUUGAUUCGAUUGAUUCUUACAAAUCGGUCGUAGACCUCUCUUUUUAUAGAGGUGGGGGGCUGGACCCUUUACACGACUGGAUUCCGAGCUAAUUCCGCAAAUCUAGCCAACAAACAUAGCACAAAACUCGGAACCCUAAACUGCUCUGCGCAUGCGCGGACCGUCUGGCCCAUAGGCGCGGACUGUCCGGACCGCGGACCGUCCGGCCUCAGGGCCGGACCGUCCGCCCGCUCAAAAUGGAGCUCAACAUAUGCCCCCCUGCCUUUUGGUGGAGCUGAGCAAACCAAAAGCAACUAACUCGAUGUGAUUACAUCGGUUCUCUUAGGCAUCUUGCCACAUACUAGGAUGGUACUGCUUGAGGAAACGCCCAUUCAAAGCCUUAGGCAAGUCCUUGCCUUGUAAUGUUUGUAGCAAAUAGGCGUUGCCAGACAUCACCUGUUUUACUUUAUAAGGACCUUCCCAGCUUGGUGACCAUUUCCCGAACUUCCAGUCUUUAUUCCUUAUAGGCAGAAUGGUCUUCCACACCAGGUCCCCUACUUGAAAUGAUUUUGCUUUGACCUUCUUGUUGUAGGCCCUGGCUACCAUGAUCUUGUCCUUUUCUGUUGCUCCCAAAGCUAUCAUCCUCUUGUCGGUCACCUCCUUUGACAUAAAAGAAGUACCUUGAUCUGUAGUUAAGGUCUGGGGAAUGCCGAAUCUAUGAAUAGUAUGCUCAGUUAUAAACUCGAUUACCUCCUUGUGUGUCAUGUUCUUUAGAGCAACGGCUUCAGUCCAUUUGGUGAAGUAGUCAGUGGCAACUAACACAAACCGAUGCCCCUUUGAUGAUGAAGGAUGAAUUUCUCCAAUAAAGUCUAAUCCCCAUCCUCUGAACGACUAAGGCUUGAUGAUAGGAUGUAAUUCGGUUGCAGGGACCAACUGUAGGUCGCCGAAUUUUUGACACACUUGGCAACCCUUGUAGUACUUGAAACAAUCAGCUAUCAUACUAGGCCAAUAAAAACCGGACCUUCACAACAACCACUUCAUCUUUGGAGCUGAUUGAUGAGUACCACAAAUCCCUUCAUGUACUUCGGCCAUGGCUAAUAUAGCAUCAUCUGGGCCCAAGCACUUAAGCAGGAUGUCAUUGACUGUUCGGCGGUAAAGUUCGUCACUCAUCAAAACAUACUUGAAAGUUGUUCGCCGAAUGUUCUUAUCUGUUUUGAUAUUGGGAUUUCGUAAAUAAUUAAGUAUAGGUGUCCUCCAAUCUCUUGCAUCGGCUUCAUUGUCAGCCGAAUCGAUUAAGAGAACAUUUCUGGUAACCCCGGAUGGUCUGGCGCCAUCACGCGGACGGUCCGCGACCUGGGAAUUUGGCUCUGCACUGGUUAUCAGAUUUUCAGUUUUGUGAAACUUCCCUCUCUUUAUCCGAUAACCUGAUGCAUCUUGUGCCAAAUCGUUAGCUCUAUGAUUCUCAACUCUAGAGAUAUGUUGAAUACUGAAUUCGUCAAAAGAAUGAAUUAUGCUCCAACAUUUCUCAAGGUAACUAUUUAGAGUACCAUCAAAACAUUGAUAUUCUUCUAACACUUGUUGGACAAUCAGCUGAGAAUCACCAAAUACCUUCACAUGUUUUACUCCCAUACCAUUUAAAAGUUCUAAGCCGAAUAGGAGGGCCUCAUAUUCAGCUUGAUUAUUAGUGCAAUAAGUUUUCAAUCGGCUAGAGAAGUCAAAGGAGACAUUAUUUGGUGAAACAAGCACAAUGCCAAUUCCUUGCCCUUCAUUGCAAACCGAUCCAUCAAAAUAUAAAGUCCAAGGAGUAAUAGUGAGGUAUGACAUGUCUAGUUCAUGAAUAUCAUUAACCCGAUGUUCUACAAUGAAAUCCGCUAUUAGUUGGCCUUUCAUAGAUUUCAAUGGUUCAUAGGCCAAGUCAUAUUCUAUGAGUGCAUAAGCCCACUUACCAAUUCUACCACUCAUAAUUGGGUUAUGCAAAAUGUAUUUGAUCACAUCGGCUUGACCAGAAACAGUGCAAUGACUAGACAGUAAAUAACAUCUACAUUUGGUGCAUGCAAAAAACAAGCAUAAGCAUAACUUUUCAAUAAAAGUGUACCUUGUUUCAGCAUCCACCAACCUUCGGCUUAGAUAUAUCACCACAUGCUCCUUCCCCUCAGUUUCUUGUGUCAGAACAGCCCCAAUGACCUUAUCCUCAGCUACAAUGUAUAAUCGGAAUGGUACUCCUGCUCGUGGUGCUUUUAAUACGGGAGCCGAAGAUAAGUAUUUUUUGAUGAGAUCAAAUGCUUCUUGCUGUUCUGCCCCCCAAGAGAAUUCCGCAUCAUUCUUAAGCCGAAGAAUAGGGGUGAACGCAUCAAUCUUCCCGGCUAGGAUAGAAAUAAACCUUCGUAAAUAAUUCACCUUGCCGAGAAACCUCUGUACCUCAACCUUACAGGUCGGAGGUCCCACAUUCCGAAUAGACUUGAUUCGGUCAGGGUCUAUCUCUAUACCAUGUUCAUGUAUGACAAAUCCUAAAAACUUACCAGCCGACACUCCAAAAGCACAUUUACGUGGGUUCAUUUUCAAACCAUACUGACGCAUUUUAUCAAAGGCUUUGCGCAAAUCAACUAUAUGAGAACUAAACUCAACCGAUUUGACUACAAUAUCAUCAAUGUAAACUUCCACAGUGUUUCCUAACAAUUCAUGGAAGAUCAAAUUCAUAGCCCUCUGAUAAGUAGCACCAGCAUUUUUCAGACCAAAUUUCAUGACAACCCACUCAAAUAAACCAAUGAAGCCAAGACAUAUAAAGGCCGUUUUAGACGCAUCUUCUUCGGCCAUGAAAAUCUAAUUAUAUCCAGCAUUACCAUCAAGGAAGCUAAUAAUUCUAUUUCCUGAUGCAUUAUUGAUUAAUGUGUCGGCUAUGGGCAUGGGAUAUUCGUCUUUAGGAGUUGCUCUAUUUAAAUUGCGAAAAUCAAUGCAUACUCUAAGUUUACCUGACUCCUUCUCCAUCGGCACAAUAUUGGAGACCCACUCUGCGUAUCUGCAAGGUCUGAUAAAAUCAGCUUCUAGCAGCCGGUGGAUUUCGUCCUUGAUGCAUGGGAGAAGAUCUGGACGAAAUGUUCUAGCUCUUUGCUUGAAAGGUCUGAAACCAGAUUUAAUAGGCAGCCGAUGCUCUACGAUCUCUCGGCUUAAUCCAGGCAUCUCAGUAUAAUUCCAAGCAAAGCAAUCUGAAUAUUCCUUCAAUAGACCGAUCAUCUCAUCUCUAGGAUCGGUCUCCAGGGUCUUGUUUACAAAAUUCGGCCUUGGAGUUUUACCAUCUCCUAUGUCAAUCUCCUCCAAAGGAUCGGCCGAUGUAAACCCCUGUCCUAGUUUAUCAAGAUCUCUGAAUUCCUCUAUUAUGUUCCCCACAGAGGAAUUAGAAGAUCUUUGUGUGACGGCGGACUCUCCGGUCUCGGGGACCGGAUCAUCCGUAAUACUGUCCUUUUGCUGUGAUAUAUGUUCGGUCUUAAAGUCCGAACCCUUUUGUGAAAGACCAGACCAUCCGGCCUUGGAAGCCGAACUGUCCGUGGCCAGAGACUCAUGAGUUUUGUGUGUAUUCAUCAUUUAAACUUUAUUUAGGAUUUAGCCGAUUCUCCAUCGGCUCUAGCAUUACAGGAAUGAAACCUUUCUUAUCUAUACUUAUGAAUUGAUAAUCAGAAAAAUCUACUCCUGUGAGACAUGUGGCAGUCUCAUAAGUCCAGAGUAUAGGGGCAUCGGCCACAGCGAUGCAGGCCGAUACAUCAGCAUGUACUUGUUCUAUGUCAUCGCCUACCCAUUGUAUUAGCAUUUGAUGUAAUGUAGAAGGUAUACAUUGAUUGGCGUGAAUCCAAUCUCUGCCUUAGAAUUAAACUGUAAUUUCCUUCUACAUCAGCGACGAAGAAUGCAGCAGCAAGGGUCUUAGUCCCGAUGGUUAAUUCAACAGACGUGACUCCCCUGGCUUUGAUCGAACUAUCAGUUCCAACACCGCUGAGGGUCAUGUUGGUCUUGACAAGUUCGUCAUCUUGUUUACCUAAUUUUAUGUAUAAUGAAUAAGGCAUUAGAUUUACAGCCGCCCCUCCGUCUACCAACAUCUUAGCAAUCGGUAUCCCAUCAAUGUGACCGCGCACGAAGAGCGGCUUUAAAUGAUUUACCGAUUCCUUUGGUUUAGUAAAGGCGGCUUCUUUAGGACCAAAAUCAAACUGGGCAACAACAGGUUCAUCGUCGCCGAUGAUAGUACAAUCGACAGAAAAUGUAAUAAUAUUUACAUCCAUACCUGGGCGUUCUGGAGAAGCCUUGUAGUCGACCAGGUCUUCUCCCAGCAGGUCGUCCUCUUCCAUUGAUGUUGUCGUGUCGUUGGAGGCCUCCUGGUGAACGGCGGACGGUCCGCACGCGGGGGCCGAACGGUCCGCACGCGGGGGCCGGACGGUCCGCGCCUGGUGCAGGUUGUCCAGAGGCUUCCUGGUGAACGGCGGACGGUCCGUGCGCGGGGGCCGGACGGUCCGCGCCUGGUGCAGGUUGACUUUCUAUUUCUGUGGCCGUUUGUUUUUUCUCAACGGCCUUCGGUCUCCAUUUCUUUUGCGAUGGCGGGUAUAGUGGAUGUGUGUCAUUAAAUGUCUUUUCCGCCUCCUUCUCCUGGCUCUCCUUUGCUCUUAGGCGCUGUAAUUUUCUCUUUUGGGAUCGUGUCAAUCCCGCUGGGCACCAUCGAGGCAUGGAGUAUUUUGGAUCGGCUGUUUUGAUGGUAGCCGUAUCCUUUUCGGUUGUGUUGGCCGAUUCGCCGAAAAUCAUCGGCCCUUUAUUGUCUCCCUGUAUGACAACAUCUGCGGUGCCUAUUUUGAUGAUGUCCUUUUUUUGUUGUUCUUUGAGUUGCUACAGGCAUAUGCCCCCCUGCCGGAUUGGUCGGCCUAGGAGGUCGAGUAGUCCGGCAAUCUUGUUGGGCCUGUGCCUGGUGACUAGAUUCAGCAGCGCUCAAUCGGUCUUGCACUGGCGGCGCCAACCUAUCAAAAACGGAUGUUUGGGGUGCCCCCCAGGCGGGGUACUGUGGCAUCCCACAUGGAUAUGGUGGCAUGCCCCACAUUUGAUUUGAGACAUAUGGUGGAGGUAAGUAUGUGUAUGGAUAUGGCAUAGAUGGAUAAGGGGGUGGAGGUGUCCAUGUAGGUAUGUUAGGUCUCAAUUGUACGAUAGGACCUUUCAUUUCAUCCGAUUGGUGAGGUGGUCCAAUCGGCCUGACCUGACGUUGCUCAUGAAUGGGUGAGCGGGGUCGCUUUGCUGGCCGGUCACUGGGGUCGGCCUUCUUUUUUACGUAUUUAGACAAUAAUUGAUCAAAAGUUGGGCCGGCUUUAACCAACCGACCAACUGCCUUGAAUGUAUUUGUUUUCCACGUACCUAUCUCUGGUCGUCGUGGUUUGAAAGUACGUGAACGUUGUGAGUCCUGAGUACGGCCGGACUGUCCGCCGGAGCUCUCCGGACCGUCCGGUGGGGUCCCGGACCGUCCGCGCCUACGUGUCGGACCGUCCGAGAUACGCAGCACGGGUUCCUGCAUCUGUCUCCCUGUCUGCGCUUGCCCCCCAGUACUAGAGGCUGUGAUGGUCACCUUUAGGGUCUCCCCUCCAUCGGGAGUCUUCUCGGCUACCACUUUCCUGCAAGAAACUUUACGAUCCCCAUCGGCCUCUUUAGCAUUGCCGAUGAUUGUCUCUUUGCCUUUCUCUUUAUCGGCUGUGUUUGGCCGAACUAGGACUUUCUUGCCCUCGAAGUCAAUCAUGUUCAUAGGAAAGGGCUCUGUAUCCACCUGCAUUUCCCGAAAUUUCAAUCGUCCCUCGUUAAUGGCCGAUUGAAUCUGUCACCGAAAUACAUUACAAUCAUUAGUGGCAUGAGAAAAUGAGUUAUGCCACUUGCAGUAUGCACGACGUUUUAGCUCGUCGGCAGAUGGAACAGUGUGAUUUAUUUUAAUGUUGCCAUUUUUGAGUAAUUCAUCAAAUAUUUUAUCACACUUGCCAACAUUAAACGUAAACUUUACAUCCUCCUGCCGUUUCUUUUGAAUCGGCUGUAGGGAAGCACAAGCCGAAGAUUUGGCCUGCUUUGGCCAAACCAUUUCAGCAGCAUAUAUUUCUGUUGACUCGUCCUCUGAGCUACUUUGAUCGCACUCUAUUAUAUGUACGUUAUGACGAAUUGCUUUAGCAGUUUCUUUGCUUCGGCUUUCACAAGCCGAAGCUCUCUGGUGUAACUGUGCUAGUGUAAAAAAUUGGAUGCCUUCUAAUCUUUCUUUUAAAUAAUAUCGUAGACCAUUAAAGGCUAAUCCUGCUAGCUGUUUCUCUGCUAAAUGAAUUUGGAAGCAUCAGUUUCUUGUAUCUCGGAUUCUCCGGAUGUAAUCAUUAACCGACUCAUCUUUUGCUUGUCGUAAUGACACUAAAUCUACCAAAUCCAACUCAUAGUCACCGGAGAAAAAAUGAUCAUGAAACUUUUGUUCUAGAUCCCCCCAUGAUGAAAUGAAAUUAGGAGGUAAAGUGGCGUACCACGCAAAUGCAGUUCCUGUUAAAGAUAAUGAAAAUAAACGUAUGCGAAAUGCCUCCGUGUCGCCCAACUCUCCUAAUUGUGCUAAAAAUUGGACUAUGUGUUCACGUGUGUUCUUUCCUUGAUCACCCGAAAAUUUUGCGAAUUCGGGUAUCCUGGUUCCCUAUGGGUAUGGGUGGUGAUCAAAUCGGCUGUCAUAAGGUUUCCGAUAUGAUUGCCCCCCAGGGACCAUGCUUACUCCGAGCUUAUCUCGGAACGCCCCGGCAAUUUCUUCCCUUACUAUAUCGAUGGCAGCCGGUUCGAGACCACCGGCUCUCUGGUCAAACAUAGGUGGGGUUGGCUGGAUAUUAGCAUAUUGUCUUUCCCCCCAUUGGUUUGAACUACGUGGUGCAUUGCCACUUGCCCUAUAUGGUUCAUAUGUUUGAUCGUUCCUUUCCGGCCUUCUCGGUGGGGCCGGAAAGUUUUCCUGGGCUCUAGAUCUCGAAUUAAUGGGUUGAUGCAUUGUAUAGUGCGAUGGGAAGUGCUGCUGGGACGAGUGAGGAUUCAGGUAACAAUCCUCCUCAAAAAGGUCAUGUGCGGACUGUCCGGACAUUGGCCCGGACCGUCCGUGAUUAUGUGCGGAUCGUCCGUCGUUGUACGCGGACGGUCCGACUGGGUAGUUUAGAUUAUGUGUCGUGUGUGGUGGUUCGGGCGCAUAUCUAGGUAACUCAUUAAAAAUCGGCCCGACUGUUGUUGGUCCGGAUGGUCCGCGCUCACGUGCGGAUGGUCCGCGCUCACGUGCGGAUGGUCCGCGCUCACGUGCGGACGGUCCGGGCAUGCGCAGAUCGGCUGAUUUGCUGCCGAUUUGCGGUUGCUCAGGGUAUGUGUCCAUCGGCAUCCCAUAAAGGGGUUGUGACUGGUCGUGACAACCUGUAGCCGAUGUGUUACGCGUGUUACCUCCUAACUCAACCUCGUGCGAAGGAAAAUUUGUGAUACUAGAUUUAUCAAAUGCACGUACUAGUCUCUUAAGAUCGCUUUGCAUACCCCCUAUGAUGUUCUGCAUUUGUUCACGCUGAUCUUCUACAUAAUUUCUAAGAGAUUGCAGAUUGUUGGUAUUACUUACAUUGGGGAUAUCUAGCGUGGGUUGGAGCGAAGCCGGAUCCGUCGCCCGAUGUCGGACGACCUUGUUGUUCCUGUCCACUUUGAAGUUGGCCAAGAACUUUGCUUUCGCCUCCUGGAUCAUCCGCUCCUUGUGCUCCUCGAACUGGAGCUGCUCGUCAGCCGGCAAGGUUUCCCAAGUCGGCUCUAUGAUGUUGCUUGGAGAAAUAUCAGAGCUAUCCCUUGAACCGGCCAUUGAGGGCCGAUUUGAUAAGCUUAGAUAUGUAUGUUCCCCAGCGGAGUCGCCAAAAAGUAUGUUGACGCCUUUUUGGAGCGUCAAAUACUCAAGAAGAACCGGCGGCGGUGCUCUCUGGUCAGGCGCGGAUGGUCCGCGGCCUGGGGCCGGACGCUCCGCGACCUGGCGCAGGGGCUAGGGUUUCCUGCCUGACGGCCGGACGGUCCGCGCGUGCGCAGGGGCGGCGGAAGAUCGCCGGCGGCGCCUGGGUCUCGCUCCCGGGAGGGACCCCGUCGGGGAGGAGAGAUCCUAGGGAUUGUCUAGGCUCGGGCCGGCCGACCUAAACUCCUCUAAUCGGCGUAGAGUCGAAGAGAGGCGAAUAAUUUGGGGAUCCAGAGGCUAAACUAGAACUAGACUAGAACUACUCCUAAUUGUACUGGAAAUAAAUGCGAAUAGAAGUUGUAUUGAUUCGAUUGAUUCUUACAAAUCGGCCGUAGACCUCUCUUUUUAUAGAGGAGGGGGGCUGGACCCUUUACACGACUGGAUUCCGAGCUAAUUUCGCAAAUCUACCCAACAAACAUAGCACAAAACUCAGAACCCUAAACUGCUCUGCGCAUGCGCGGACCGUCCGGCCCACAGGCGCGGACUGUCCGGACCACGGACCGUCCGGCCUCAGAGCCGGACCGUCCGCCCGCUCAAAAUGGAGCUCAACAACGCGUCAUGAAGAAACGCCGGCUGCGCGCAGGGCGAACUGAAGCAGGAGCACCGAGCAGAGGAGGAAAAAGCACGGCUGGGUAGAGAAACUUCACGGCGCUCGGCGCGGCGAGGACGCACGCGCAGGUGAGCUGGAGCUGCGUGCGACGCGAGCAGAGGAAGAAGACGACAGUGGGAGAGGGCGACCGCGGCGCGCUAGGGAGUUCGACGGCGAGCUGCAGGAAGAUCCGGCCAGGCGCCAUGGCUGGGAGCUCUGAGCAGAGGAAGCAUCACGGCAGUGGCAAACGGCUGGGGUGGCUCUGGUGUGGAUCCUGGUUUGGAGAAGAAUGACGGUCGACGAGGAGGACGCCGGUCAAAGCAGCGGCCGGACAUCCAUGGCAGCCGUCGAAGCACAGUGGAGCUGAGACAGGGCAGUGACGCACGCCAACCCUGUGCGCGCAUAGAGAGGAGGACGGAGAAGACUAGAGGUGAGCUAGGGAGCCGAGAAUCGGCCAGGGGCACGCAGGGAGAAAUGAGAGGCCGCGGCAAAGGGAAGAGAUCUAGGCGAUGGAUAUCUCUGCAGGAAUUGAGCGGCGGAAGAAAAAUCUCCACGCCCGCCCGCGGCAGUGAGCGGUGGGAGGAUGAGGAUCGGCUGGAAGUGACUCAGAAAAAAUCAGGAAGCCAUGUGGAGUUACGUGAAGAAAUGAUGAUUGAUGACUAGGAGAUAUUUGGGAGAUUUUUGAGGAAUUUUUAUUUUCUUUUUCUUUCUCACGCAAAAGCGUCAGCCAAAAUACCAUAGAUAUUUUGGAUCCCAAUUUUCUUAACGAUGUAUACAAUGUAGACAGUAAUUGUGACACGGUUUUGAUUUAGCGAAUACUUAGAAUCAGAUAAAUUUGCACCCGUCAUUUAUAUCCAAAGUUUUGGAUCGGGGCGAGAAACGAUGGCCCGAAUAAGACCGAUUAGAAUUUAUUCGAGUUUGGCUCGGUAUUUUAAUCUGCUCUUCGUGAUUUGACUGACAUUAGCCGCAACCAUAUCUGCUGAUGCACACGCGAUUUUGUCGUCAAAACAGCGUGCAGAAGGAUAAAGUGGAUCUUAACCUCGCACACGAUUUCUCUCAGACAACGCGUGUUACAGAUUAUUUUGCCCCGAUAUAUUAGUCGUCGAGUUCUUCUUAAUCGGUUCGGUAUAAAAUCAUCCGAGUGAGUCGGGCUUCCGAAUUCGUAUUCGCGCGAGCGAUAAAUUUUUAAAUAAUCACCGGACGCAUCGAUUUCUGGAAUAAUUAUGUUCCGAACAACACGAAAAUUUAGGAAGAGCCAAGACGGAUAAAAAUAAAAACGAUGUCGCACUCGCGACAAAGGAAACAGAUGCGAUAUUAAAAUCGCGAUAGGCGAUUAUAAUUAGACCUCAAUGUCCGUCUUAUUUACUGAUAUCACGUGCUUAAAUCCGUACUCAUUGUCGAGCGGAAUAUAAACACCUAGGGUGUUACAGCCCUCGCCACUUAAAAGAAUCUCGUCUCGAGAUUCGGAGCGAAAGACUUUUAAGAGUAGAGAAGCAUGUAACCCAUGUCCAUAUUAGUGAUAAUCAUAAGACAGUUCCAAGCAAAGGUGAGUGUCUCAGGAUAGGGUUUCUCUAGUGGACAUAACAUGUAUCGCCUUAGGCAAAUUUAGAAAUGUCCACCAAUAAGGAUGUUGUCUGCCAGAGGAACACAUAAGGUUCCAUGUGUGCAGUUCGCUUUUUCUGAUGACACUGUACUAUCUGAGUCUAUUGAGUGAGCGACAAUUACGCGAUUUUAUCCAAACAGAAUCAGAUGCAACCUCUUGGGUAAAACACACAAAAGGAGGUUUACCAACAAGUGGUUACGGUAAGUUCAUAGCACAGGGAACAUGUGUGGAUGUCGAAUACUGUCGUGGUUAACAUGUGGCUAACCCGAGAAUUCAAGUCCAUGAAAGAUGGUAUAGAUUCAAAGAAUCACCGGCGAAGGGACAUGUAGAUGCGGACUUUGCAACUAGUCCAUUUUACCUAGUACUAAUCAUGGCUCGACUUGAUCACCUAUGCUGGGAAAACACACGUGAUGCGAUCGAGGCAUGACUAGAGCGAUAAUUAGGUGGUUAUUAGUCGACUUAACUUGAUCUGUGUAAGUACUUUCUUAGAAUGGUUUGAACCAAAGUGAGUUUAGAUAACUCGAUAAAACGAUCUCUAAACUCACCCUUUGUUCAUUGGAUAGUUGCAAGUUAGUAAAACCAACUUGUUGAACUACUCAUGACAUUGAGUGGGUCCUCUCAGUACCAUCGGUAAGCCAAGGGUUGAGAGUUCACAUUUUGCUACCAAAAGGUCAUGCACUUGGGUAGAAAUCCAUUUGGUCAGGUUGUUCAUCUGUUUCUUCGUACGAGAUGAACGGAUUUAGUUAAGGAAUAUAUGGAUUAAAUAAGAGGGCGAAUGAACAAACUCCUGCAUCUCAGCAGCAGGGGAAACAAAUCACCAUUUUGAGAGCUAAUCAGUUGUCUCUCGACACUAAAAAGCUCCAAGGCUUCACCUUUACACAAAGGACGUAAAGGGAACUUGUAUGUGUGUAGUCACCACCAAAGUAAAGGGACAAGAGACCACACAUUAAAGGGGUAUGCCCUUUUGAUCCAACAGAGAUGAUAGAUGUUGCUUGAUCACUUGACAAACAACAUAGAAAUUGUUUCAAGGAAGUAGUUUACGGAAGAUAACACAUAAGUGUAGUUCCACAAUGGAUCAUGACCAGAGACCUUGAUACCAGCAUCCGACGAGUAGCACAGUCCUGUGUGCGCAUUCACAGGAGGCUCUCAGUUUCGCUGCGGCACCAUAAGUCAUUAACCAUGACACCAUUACCGAACUGGCACCAAUAACAAUCUCACGUAGCAAAAAAACAUAUUGUGCCAAGAUAACGUAUUGACAUAAUCUCAUAAUGGAUUACAACUACUAACUGUGAUACCAGCGCGUGCCGAGUAGCACAACCAUGUGUGCGCACCCACAGAAGGCCCUCGGUUUCGUCACGGCUCCAUCAGUUUUAAUCAUAGCACCAUUACCAGACAUAACCAAUAAGAAAUCUCGCGCGACACCAAUGGAUUAGGCAAGGGUGACAAUAUACAAAGAGACUCUACCUGUCAAAACGGUUACAAGUAGAGAGUCAAAUAGAUCAUGGCCCAAUGAAAUGAACAAGGCAUGGCCAUAACCUAAACUUGAUGGAAGGAGUAUGAUGGGAGACUGUUAAUUCAGCCCCAAACAUAUUUCUAUGCCCAUCAUAGGGAUUACAAGGUCAAGGAUUAGUAUCUGACUAGAUGCGGAGUAAAAAUAAUCAUGAGAUUAAGUUGGUAUGCCUUCGAUAGAAAUGAGGAAAUCAAAGGCAUCAAACUCAAGAAAAUGAUGAGACAUGUCUUUCCUAGGUUGGGUCGAUAAAGCAAUAUGGCGAUCCUUAAGAACAUGCAAACUAGAUAAGGGACAUCAGCUUGUGCCAAUCGAACAAGGGCAUGGUCUAAGAUGGAAUUAUGACAACUAAAACAUCACAGAUUAAAUAGCAAGAACAUGGACUCGAGAUCCUAGCUUUAAGCCCAUGCACAUCUUGCGUUGGAUAAAGGAAUUAUCCAAACAUCCAUUUACAUGAGUUUGGUCAUGGGGAAAUAACAGGAAAUUCAACUUUGGGUCAUGGUUCACCUACUAAGAACAUGACCUAGAUUUGGGUUUAGGCAAACAAGUGUCUAACCUUCUAUCGACACAUUAAGCACAAGAGCACACAUAUAGCAUCUAAACAUAAUACCUAAGGAACGAAGAACAACUAUUUUAUUGAAGUUCAUAAUUCAACAUUACACCAGAUUAUCUACAAUCACUGGUUUCUGGAAUAAGGAUGAGAGAAGCAUUUUGGAUGUAUAUGUAACAAACAUGAUGCAACAAUCAGGAUGCAUCCUCGUCCUAUACGUCCUCACGAAUUUGUGCCAAUCUAAUGUGGCAGUAGCGUUCUAUCUCGGUGGCAUACUUACGACUCUCACGGUAUUUUGCUAGUCGUCAGCUACACAUACGUUUUCGAGGUUAGUGUACCUGCAGAAAAUUCCAUCACAACCCAAUUUCCCAAUGAUGCAGUUCACACAAGGCAAUUUAUCACAGUUUAUACUCCAUAUAUUGCUAUAUGGAUGCCAGCUCAUCAUUAAGCGUCGAACCACGCAUAGGCGUCGUUGCCACACUUUAACCAUAGGGCAACUCAUUAUGGUAACUCACCUUCUUACCUGAGCGUAGAUGCGUCGUUACAAGUACAUUACAUUUCUCAGUAUGCCCAUGUCUGUAUACCCAUAGACAUCCAUGGGGUAUUGAAUUCCCAGAAAAUUUAAAUACUCCACAUCACGGCCUUCAUAUAUACAUAUGUGGAACAUGUAUAUAAUCAAGCGCUUUUUACACUCUUCCCUAAACCGACGUUUGUUCGGUCAUGCUCUCACAUCUCACCUUACCUUGAGCGUCGAUCCAUUCAAAACUGAAUGGCCUUAAAAAUAACAAUACACAUGUAUGCAAUACCCACCCGGUUGUGGGUUAGUGGUUUUCAAAUAAGCCACCUGAUAGUCCUUAGUUUAGGGCUUAACAGAGGAUGUCGCUAGCAUUGUAGUUUUCAAAUCUAUAGUUUUUCAAAACCAAACAAUGUGUUUAGAUGAAAAUAGGUUUUCUAAAACCAAAACUUUUGUUUUGAAAAUACGUAUGUGAAGUAUAUACUUAAUCCUGCUCCGAUACCAGCUGUGGCAGAACCUCCCAAGGUAUCGGACCCACAUGCACCUGUCCUUGUCCCAAAGACCUCAGACGGCCAUGCAUGUGCACCAGAUAACUUAACAGGAUCCGUCCGAUUGCCCCAAGGACAUCGGAUAAACCACUUACAACCAGAACCGCGGGAUUAAGUAAACACAAAUCACACACCAACAAUUUUGCAACGAAAAUCUUAUUACCAAAUUUUACAAGUUACAUCAAGUUUUACUUUGUAUGAUCGGAGUGAUUACAAAGUAUAAGUUUGAAAUAUAUGCUAGCUCAAGUGACCAUCCUCAAUAAGAAGGUAAAGACAGGGUAUACUUAUAUAAGAAGGCCAAGCCCACCGGCACUUAACACCAUCACAACAACACAAGGUUAGAACCUAAAAAACAACAGGGAAUAAAACCCUGAGUAUGAAAUUACUCAGCAAGACUUACCCGACUAAAGAAAAGACUCUCAAGGAUAUGCUGGAUUUGGGACUCAAGGAGAGGCUUUAGCAAGAAUCAACUUAGAUACUUUUGCAGAAUUAGCUUACUAAAGUGAGUCCUUACUUUCAAUAUUUUAAUGCCAGAUUAAAUAUUAAUAGACUUUGUUUGCAUCUGGUCUAAUUUCACCAUCUCAUCAAUACAACAUCAUUUUUAUUCAUGAGAUUCACAUCCUGACUUAGGUUGCAGGGCAGCGAUCAAGUCUCCACUCUCCGGGGAUAUAACGGCGAUCCGAAUCGAUUUACUCAGCUGAGGAUCUCUAACCACACGACAUAUGUAGCACUUAACCCUUG